AAUAGCCUAACGGCUGAACCAGCAAUUUGGACGAAUGUAUAGCAAUAGCUAAUUGCACCAAGAUAUAUCUGAUGCAAUAUCGACUUAGUCGAAUAAAAUUCUAGGUAGAAUUAUGAUAAUGACAUUUUCUGCCUAUUAGUCUUGACCAAAUUACGUGCCAGCAGUCGCGGUAAUACGUAGAAGACAAGUGUUAUUCAUCUUUAAUAGGUUUAAAGGGUACCUAGACGGUAAAUCAAGCCUUAAACGGGACUAAUUUACUAGAGUUACUUGUGAGGGGGCACUAAAGUACUGAUGGUGGAGAGAUGAAAUUCUUUGAUACCUCUUUUCGAAAGAAAAACAAUGGCACAGGUAUAGGCGAAAGCAUCCCCUUAUGUGAUAA
rnacentral:rRNA from 1 species